AUUUUUCUUGAUAGUUCAUAUCAUGUUGAACUUAGACAUUUGUAAAUACCUAAAAUACAAAUGAUCUUGGGCUAAAUCCUUCUUAUUACUGGUAAUCCGAGAGUGCUUGUGACCUAGAAUAGGAAGAUAUACAAUAGGGAGGUGAAUGGUGAGGAGAUUAUUAUGUAUUAAAAUGGCAGGAAAUUUUUCUCUUGCAAAUGGGAAGGAUG
rnacentral:misc_RNA from 1 species